CAUGCAAGUCGAGCGGUAGCACAGAGAGCUUGCUCUCGGGUGACGAGCGGCGGACGGGUGAGUAAUGUCUGGGAAACUGCCUGAUGGAGGGGGAUAACUACUGGAAACGGUAGCUAAUACCGCAUAACGUCGCAAGACCAAAGUGGGGGACCUUCGGGCCUCAUGCCAUCAGAUGUGCCCAGAUGGGAUUAGCUGGUAGGUGGGGUAACGGCUCACCUAGGCGACGAUCCCUAGCUGGUCUGAGAGGAUGACCAGCCACACUGGAACUGAGACACGGUCCAGACUCCUACGGGAGGCAGCAGUGGGGAAUAUUGCACAAUGGGCGCAAGCCUGAUGCAGCCAUGCCGCGUGUGUGAAGAAGGCCUUCGGGUUGUAAAGCACUUUCAGCGGGGAGGAAGGCGGUGAGGUUAAUAACCUCAUCGAUUGACGUUACCCGCAGAAGAAGCACCGGCUAACUCCGUGCCAGCAGCCGCGGUAAUACGGAGGGUGCAAGCGUUAAUCGGAAUUACUGGGCGUAAAGCGCACGCAGGCGGUCUGUCAAGUCGGAUGUGAAAUCCCCGGGCUCAACCUGGGAACUGCAUUCGAAACUGGCAGGCUAGAGUCUUGUAGAGGGGGGUAGAAUUCCAGGUGUAGCGGUGAAAUGCGUAGAGAUCUGGAGGAAUACCGGUGGCGAAGGCGGCCCCCUGGACAAAGACUGACGCUCAGGUGCGAAAGCGUGGGGAGCAAACAGGAUUAGAUACCCUGGUAGUCCACGCUGUAAACGAUGUCGAUUUGGAGGUUGUGCCCUUGAGGCGUGGCUUCCGGAGCUAACGCGUUAAAUCGACCGCCUGGGGAGUACGGCCGCAAGGUUAAAACUCAAAUGAAUUGACGGGGGCCCGCACAAGCGGUGGAGCAUGUGGUUUAAUUCGAUGCAACGCGAAGAACCUUACCUGGUCUUGACAUCCACAGAACUUUCCAGAGAUGGAUUGGUGCCUUCGGGAACUGUGAGACAGGUGCUGCAUGGCUGUCGUCAGCUCGUGUUGUGAAAUGUUGGGUUAAGUCCCGCAACGAGCGCAACCCUUAUCCUUUGUUGCCAGCGGUUAGGCCGGGAACUCAAAGGAGACUGCCAGUGAUAAACUGGAGGAAGGUGGGGAUGACGUCAAGUCAUCAUGGCCCUUACGACCAGGGCUACACACGUGCUACAAUGGCAUAUACAAAGAGAAGCGACCUCGCGAGAGCAAGCGGACCUCAUAAAGUAUGUCGUAGUCCGGAUUGGAGUCUGCAACUCGACUCCAUGAAGUCGGAAUCGCUAGUAAUCGUAGAUCAGAAUGCUACGGUGAAUACGUUCCCGGGCCUUGUACACACCGCCCGUCACACCAUGGGAGUGGGUUGCAAAAGAAGUAGGUAGCUUAACCUUCGGGAGGG
rnacentral:rRNA from 1 species